ensembl:snRNA U4 U4 spliceosomal RNA
UGCCUCAUGCAGUGGCAGUAUCAUAGCCAAUGAUGUCCAACCGAGGCAUGAUUAUUGCUAAUUGUGCUGAAGCGGAAGCAUGAUGAAAGUGUAGGGGCUGUGUUCCCAUUAGGGAAGAGCUGCUGGCUUAUUUUUGGUCGGGGGCUUCGCACAUGCUCC